rnacentral:ncRNA from 1 species
AUUACCAUGCCGCCCGUCGGUUUCCAAACGGGAUUAAUAGGGAAUCCGUGAUGGCCCAAGGGUCGUCAACCGGAACUGCCCCCGCAACUGUAGGCGCUGAGCCCUGCUCCAUAGAUGCCACUGGAUAAAACCGGGAAGGCCCGAGCAUGGCGAUGAUGCGUCAGUCAGGAGACCUGCCGACAUCAGGAAGCUACA